UACGUAGGAGGCAAGCGUUGUCCGGAAUCACUGGGUGUAAAGCGCGUGUAGGCGGCCUGCCAAGUCUGUCGUGAAAGGGCCCGGCUUAACCGGGUCAGGUCGAUGGAAACUGGUGGCUGGAGGCCGGUAGAGGUGAGUGGAAUUCCCGGUGUAGUGGUGAAAUGCGUAGAGAUCGGGAGGAACACCAGUGGCGAAGGCGGCUCACUGGGCCGAGCCUGACGCUGAGACGCGAAGGCGUGGGGAGCGAACGGG
rnacentral:rRNA from 1 species